rfam:Vigna angularis cultivar Jingnong 6 chromosome 10, whole genome shotgun sequence.
UGGAGAAGGGGAGCACGUGCAAAUUGGUUCAAUGGCGUUUAGGAGAGCCAAGAAUUGCACACUUGCACGUGCCCUGCUUCUCCAAC